AACGCGAAGAACCUUACCUGGGCUUGAACUACUCGUGGUAAGCUGAUGGAAACAUUGGCUGACCCGCAAGGGAGCGAGCAGAGGUGCUGCAUGGUUGUCGUCAGCUCGUGUCGUGAGAUGUUGGGUUAAGUCCCGCAACGAGCGCAACCCCUACUCGAUGUUGCUAAUCCCGCAAGGGAUGCACUCUUCGAGAACUGCCUUCGAUAAGAAGGAGGAAGGUGGGGACGACGUCAAAUCCUCAUGGCCCUUAUGUCCAGGGCUACACACGUGCUACAAUGGCCGGUACAACGGGAAGCAAUACCGUAAGGUGGAGCCAAACCCUGAAAGCCGGCCCCAGUUCAGAUUGUGGGCUGCAACUCGCCCACAUGAAGGCGGAAUCGCUAGUAAUCGCGAAUCAGCAGGUCGCGGUGAAUACGUUCCCGGGCCUUGUA
rnacentral:rRNA from 1 species